GCGGCCCAAAAAGCUCACUGGGUAGAGCACUCGCCUUGUAAGCGGGAAGUCUCGGGUUCGAGUCUCUGACUGGCUGCA
rnacentral:tRNA from 1 species